rnacentral:rRNA from 1 species
GGGCCCGCACAAGCGGAGGAACAUGUGGUUUAAUUCGAUGAUACGCGAGGAACCUUACCCGGGCUUGAAUUGCAGAGGAAUUUAUCAGAGAUGGUAAAGCCCUUCGGGGUCUCUGUGAAGGUGCUGCAUGGUUGUCGUCAGCUCGUGCCGUGAGGUGUCGGCUUAAGUGCCAUAACGAGCGCAACCCCUUUCCUUAGUUGCCAUCAGGUCAUGCUGGGCACUCUGGGGAUACUGCCACCGUAAGGUGUGAGGAAGGUGGGGAUGACGUCAAAUCAGCACGGCCCUUACGUCCGGGGCUACACACGUGUUACAAUGGCCGGUACAGAGAGACGGUUGCUUGCAAAAGUAAUCAAAUCCUUAAAACCGGUCCCAGUUCGGACUGGGGUCUGCAACUCGACCCCACGAAGCUGGAUUCGCUAGUAAUCGCGCAUCAGCCAUGGCGCGGUGAAUACGUUCCCGGGCCUUGUACACACCGCCCGUCAAGCCAUGAAAGCCGGGGGUGCCUGAAGUCCGUGACCGCAAGGAACGGCCUAGGGCAAAACUGGUAAUUGGGGCUAAGUCGUAACAAGGUAGCCGUACCGGAAGGUGCGGCU